GAUGAACGCUGGCGGCGUGCUUAACACAUGCAGGUCGAACGAAGCACUUUAUUUGAUUUCCUUCGGGACUGAUUAUUUUGUGACUGAGUGGCGGACGGGUGAUUAACUCGUGGUUAACCUGCCUUGUACAGGGGGGUAACAGUUGGAAACGGCUGCUAAUACCGCAUAAGCGCACAGCAUCACAUGAUGCAGUGUGAAAAACUCCGGUGGUAUAAGAUGGACCCGCUUUGGAUUAGCUAGUGGGUGAGGUAACGGCCCACCAAGGCGACGAUCCAUAGCCGACGUGAGAGGGUGACAGGCCACAUUGGGACUGAGACACGGCCCCCACUCCUACGGGAGGCAGCAGUGGGGAAUAUUGCAGACUGGGCGAAAGUCUGAUGCAGCGACGCGGCGUGAGAGAAGCAGUAUUUCGGAAUGUAAAGCUCUAUCAGAAGGGAAGAUAGUGACGGUAACUGAUUAAGAAGCACCGGCUAAAUACGUG
rnacentral:rRNA from 1 species